AUGGAGACUUUAAGAAAUUCUUCUUUACUAGUGUCCUUCUUGUUGGCAUUUUUAAUCAUUACUUCAGAUAUGUGUAUGAAAUCAGAAGCUUCACAAGCCACAAGAAUGACUGAGAAGUUGGACUCAAGUUGCAACACAGCUGAGGAUUGUACUAUCCAAAAUCGUCAUUGUCCACCUGGACUUAUUGUCAUAUGUGCUAGUCACCAUUGUACUUGUAUACACUAGUCAAAUUAUUAGUCCAAAUCUCUCUGUUACAAACUGAGUAAUAAUUAGUGUGACAAUUGUUGUGUUUCACGUCAAUAA